rnacentral:snRNA from 1 species
CGCUUCGGCACGGCAGCAAUAUACUAAAAUUAGGUUACCUGUACAUAGCCCCUGUACAAGGAUGACACGCAAAUUCGUGAAGCGUUCCAUAUUUUU